AUCAGGUGGCUGAUCUGGAAGCAGAUGUGACAGUGACUCUGGAGGGUGUACGGAUGGUGAGGGGUACUAUGGGCCGUGUUUUGGCAGCAUGGGACUCUUACAGUGAUAUCUACACCUCAUUGCGCGCAUGGCUGGAGCAGGGUCCACAUGGCCAGCGACACAGGCAGAGAACAGAGGUGGCAUUAUCAGUAAUGUCAGAGUGGAGUUCUCGCCAAGCUCACCUGAAUGAGGUGGCCAACUACUUGACAGAGGUCACAGACCCACAGUCUAGUCGCGCUAUUUCAGAUGAACUCUGCAAGAUAAAUCUACUCUGGGCUGACUUUGCCAAAACAGCCCAAUUUUCUUUAGUUGAGGAGCCCAGUGCUGACCCAUCUAGUGCUCAGACAGUUCAGUCUCUGAUAAGGGAGGCCACUCAGUUACUGAAAGAACCUG
rnacentral:lncRNA from 1 species